rnacentral:tRNA from 1 species
UCCCUGGUGGUUCAGCAGGUUGGGGAUUCAGUAUUGCUACUGCUGUGGUGCGGGUUUGAUCCCCGGCCUGGGAA